CCAUGGUGAGUGCUUGGCAGAGCAGGCGGAGGUCCCGCUGUUCGCUGGUUUGCAGGCGGGCUCUGCUGUGAGUGCAGCACGGAGGCUCUGGGGGGCAGCGGCCGCCCGGGCUUCGGCACGUGGGAAGUGACUCCGCGGCCCAGGCAACCAUCACAGGUUUGUGACCAUGGAUGCCGUAGACCAAGGUGCAGAAGGUGACCAUCUGAGCUUGAAAGGGACGGACCUCUGUCACGCUGCACAGGAAAAGCUGAGCCUUCGCGGUUUCAUACACUCUUCUGGCAGCUGCAGAGAUGAACGUCUCUCAGGAUACUACAGAGUUGAAGUCCACAUCCAAGGAAAUCAGGAAAAACAAGAGAUGCUUCCAACACUGACUAAAGAACAGAAAGUUUUAGGAAAACCAUUUAAUCUGGGUAUAGUUUCAGAUUUUUUAGGAAAAAUGCCCUCUAAAUGUGACUCAUGUGGAAUGUACUUUCCAGUUAUCUCUGAGUUCAUUAUUACUGAAGGAAGCUAUUCAAGAAAGAAAGCUGAUUCCAUGAAUGUGUGUGGAAAAUUACAACUUGAUAUUAAACGUGAGGAAACGCACACUAAAGAGAAAUCGCAUGAUUUUAGUAAAAAUGAGAAAGUUCUUGAUUAUAAAAAAGAUCACCCUCAGAAGUUUCAAAUCUUGGAGAAGUCCACUCAACACAGUGACUAUAUGAAAGAGGGGAGUCUUCCAACAGGAGGGAAGUACUGUGAGGACGAUGAAUUUAGGAAAACGUGUGGUAAAACAACUCUGUUUGAAUACAGGGUAUCUGACAUAAGGGAGAAGUGCUAUGAUCUUAAUGAAAGUGGAGGAUCCUGCAACAAAACCACCAUUGUGGAAUACAAUAAAGUUCACAUGCCAAUAAUAACACAUAGUGAUUGUAAUGAAGAUGGCAUUAAUUUCAGUACAAAGUCACCCUUUAGUCCAUCUCAAAAACCUACUAUAAGACAGAGGGCUUUAGAUGGUAAUAAAUGUGAAGAAAAUGUGGGUUACACCCCAGGCCAUAAAGUAUGGCUUGAAAAACAAACUGAUAGCAACAUCUUUGAGCAUAAUGGAUGCACAGAUAUCUUGUAUCAGAAAUUAGACUUUAUAGUACAAGACAAAACACCAGAAAAACAUUUCCAAUGUGAUCUGUAUGGGAAACAUGAAAAAUCUUUUUCUCAAGAAGCAUAUCUCAUUCAGCAUCAGAGGACCCACUCAAGACAGAACCCUUAUGAAUAUGAGAAAUCUGGGAUACCAUUACACUCACAGUCAUAUCCUAUUCACCAUACCCCAUCUGGAGACCAGAUGGAGUUCAAACUCUAUGAAGGCAGUAAAUGUGGAGAAUCUUUCUGUCAGAAGUCAAACAUCAGUGAGCAUUUGAGAAUUGGCUGUGAGGAAUCUUACACAUCUCCUGUCAUGGAACAGCAGAGAACAGACACAGAGAUGAGACUUUUUCAAGAUAGAGAUUAUGGAGAAAUAUUCUGUAUGAUGGGACAUCUGAAACAACAUCAGAGAGUUUACUGAGGAGAGAAACCCCAUGAAUGCAUUGAAUGUGGGAAAACUUUUGCCAAGACAUCACAUCUUGGAGCACAUUGAAGAAUUCACACAGGUGAAAAACCCUAUGAAUGUAUUGAAUGUGGGAAAACUUUUUCUCACAAGACACAUUUCAGUGCACAUCAGAGAAUUCAUACAGGGGAAAAUCUUAUGAUUGUAAUGAAUGUGGAAAAGCAUUUGCUGAUAAUUCAACCCUUAGAGCUCAUCAGAGAAUUCAUUCUGGAGAGAAACCGUAUGAAUGUAACAAAUGUGGAAGAUCUUUUGCCCAUGUUUCUUAUCUCAGAGCACAUCAAAGAAUUCACACAGGAGAAAAGCCCUAUGAGUGUAAUGAAUGUGGAAGAUCUUUUACCUAUAAUUCAACUUUCAGAGCAUACCAGAGAGUUCACACAGGGGAAAAACCAUAUGAAUGUAAUGACUGUGAGAGAUCGUUUACUCAUAAUUCAACUCUCAGAGUACAUCAGAGAGUUCUCACAGGAGAGAAACCAUAUGAAUGUAAUGACUGUGAGAAGACUUUUGCUCAUAAUUCAGCUCUCAAGGCACAUCAGAAAAUUCACACAGGGGAGAAACUUUAUGAAUGUCAUGAAUGUAGGAAAGCUUUUUCCCAGAAAACACAUCUCAUUACCCAUCAGAGAAUUCAUACUGGGGAGAAACCCUAUGAAUGCAGUGAAUGUGGAAAAACUUUCUCUUAGAAAUCAUACCUCAGUGGUCAUGAACGAACUCACAUGGGGAAAAGCCCUAUGAAUGUAACACAUGUAGGAAAACUUUUGUCUAUAAGACAGCUCUCAUAGUACAUCAAAGAAUUCACACAGGGGAGAAGCCCUAUGAAUGUAAUGAAUGUGGGAAAACUUUUUCUCAACUCACCUCUGUGCACAUCAGAGAACUCAUACAGGGGAAAAACCAUAUGAAUGUAAUGAAUGUGGGAAAACAUUUGCUGAUGACUCAGCCCUCGGGGCACAUCACAGAAUUCACACAGGGGAAAAACUCUAUGAGUGUAAUGAGUGUGGGAAAACUUUCUCAAAGAUAUCACAUCUUAGAGUCCAUCAGAGAACAUGCACAGGGGAGAAACCCUAUGAAUGUAACAAAUGUGGGAAAACAGUCUCUGAGAGGUCCUCUGUUAGUGCACAUCAAAGGGUUCACAUGGGAGAAGCCCUAUGAAUGUAAUAUAUGUGGGAAACCAUUUUCUUAUAAUUCAACUCUGAGUACAUCAGAGGAUUCAUACAGGUAUUAAAUCCUAUGGAUGUAAGGCAUGUGGGAAAACUUUCUCCCAGAAAUCACAUCUUCCUGCACACCAGAGAAUUCACACAGGAGAAAAACCCUAUGGAUGUAAUGAAUGUGGUAAAGCUUUUGCCCAAAAUUCAACUCUCAGAGUGCACCAGAGAAGUCACAGGGGAGAAACCCUAUGAAUGUGAUAACUGUGGAAAAACUUUUGUUUGAAAAGCAGCUCUCAGAGUACACUGCAUAAGAAUGUACACCAAAGAAAACCUUAAUGUGUAGUAAGUUUGAAAAAUCCUUAUGGGACUCAUUGCUUGUACAAUAGUGAAAAGCUCAUAUCAUGUGCACUGGUUUAACAAAAUUUCUGUCUUGUUCAUCCAAGUGAGACUGGCCAUGGAAUGUGAUGUUAAUGAGAUACUGUAUUUAAGCCAAGCCCUUAAAUUUCCUCACAUUCUUCCUAAUCCAUUUUAAGAUAGAAUGAAGACUACCACAGCCAAUUUGAAUAGUGCAUUCUGAGCACAAAGUGACAGAAACAACUGAAUAACUGGAAUUCUUUACCUUCAUUUUCCACUUUAUUUUUGUGCAACAAUAAGUUUGUGUUCUGUUGAACUCUUAAAGACUUGAUCUCUUGGUGAAAUGCAUAUAAUCUAGACCACUAUUAAGAAUGGCAUGAAACCUGUCAUUGUUUAUGUCUCUGUCCCCCAGGCCUCAUGAGUUUGCAUUGAGUAUUUGUGAUUGGUUCAUUGUCUAGUGCUUGGAUUGAUGGUGUCAGUGCUCCACCCACAUAGGGGUGGAGCCAGGAUGUGAGGUAAUAGCAGAAAGAAGGUGUGUCUUGCUCUUUGCCAGUUCCUGUUUGCGGCUGCCAUGAACUGCGGCCCAGCCAUGCCCGCCUGCCUUGGAGUCAACUGAAUGUGGACUGAAACCUCCAAAAACUGUAAUAAAUAAACCUUUCCUUUCCCAACUUUGGGCUUCAGGUAUUUUGUCCCAGUGGCGAGCAUAAAGUAACUAAGACAAAACCCUAUGAAGAAAAUGUCAGAAGACCUAUAAAAAUGUGUAUCAGAGACUUCAACUGAGGAAGAAAAUUCAGUAUCCAAAUAGACCUUCUCUAUAACAAUAAUGAUUAAAUGAUUACUAUGGCUGGAAUACAUGCAAGCACACAAAAUUAUAAUGAAUAAUUCAACAAUGUUGUUGGAUACAUGACUAAUAUAGAAAAACUGCAUUAUUAUAA
rnacentral:lncRNA from 1 species